CAAUGGCAUAUACAAUGAGACGCAAUACCGCGAGGUGGAGCAAAUCUAUAAAAUAUGUCCCAGUUCGGAUUGUUCUCUGCAACUCGAGAGCAUGAAGCCGGAAUCGCUAGUAAUCGUAGAUCAGCCAUGCUACGGUGAAUACGUUCCCGGGUCUUGUACUCACCGCCCGUCACACCAUGGGAGUUGAUUUCACUCGAAGCCGGAAUACUAAACUAGUUACCGUCCACAGUGGAAUCAGCGACUGGGGUGAAGUCGUAACAAGGUAACCGUAGGAGAACCUGCGGUUGGAUCACCUCCUUUCUAG
rnacentral:rRNA from 1 species